UUCAAUUUCCUAAUUUUUUUACGUAACCGGUUACGCUCGAAUCGGUAACCGCUUACGGGCUUCGAAAAUAGCCCAGAAACCUAUUUUUCGUCAUUGGAGGCCUUUCGGACCCCCGAUUUUGAUUCCGUAAAAACCUCUGAUCUCAGAAUUCGACAUACUAUAAUUAUUUAAUGAUUAAAACAGAAAAUUCACAUUAUAUCAUAGAUUAGCAUAAAAAAAUCAUUCAUUCUCAUUAACUCAUAUGUACCCCAAACCUCCCAACAACAGCAAUUGCAAUAAUGCA
rnacentral:lncRNA from 1 species